GUGCAAAAUUUGAAAGUUGAUGGGAUUUUAUAUUACAUUUUUAAAUUAAGGGACUGUAAUAUUAUAAUUAGAUAAAAAUGAAGUCACUAUUAUCACUUUUGAAAAUUUCUUACCAUUAGAGACUCCAACGAUUGGCCGAUGCGUGAGUGUUAAUUGAUUUUUCCAAAAUUACUUAAUAAAUAUAUACUUUAUUAAUUGACUCUCUUAAAUUUAAUCAUUAAACUCUUUUUUUAAUAAAAGGAAGUAAUUCACUUUUUAAUUUUUAAUAAUUUUAAAAUAUUAGAUCUCUAUGAGUUAUAAUAUUUUAUUAUUAUUUUUAAUAUUGAUAAAAAAAAUUUAAAUCCGCAGCAAAAAGCUGAUGUGGCAAUGCUAGAAUGAAUUUUCAUUAAUUAAAUUAUAAUAUGAAUGGUGAAUCACAAAUCAAAUCCAUGAAUUAAAAAUAAUAAAAAAAAAAGAGCUCAAUCCACAAUCUAAGAAGCAUUGGGAAGAAUCUGAAAAGGAAUAACAGAAUUGGCAUAGUAGAGGAGGAAUUUAAGAAUCAAGCUGAUGUCGUUGCUUGUCACCUUGAGGAACGUUUGUUGGACAAACAGGAAGAGAAAGAGAUCAAUAUCUCCGUGAAGAAUCCAACAAGCGAAGGAUGUCAAUGGGGGCGUUGUUGGUUGUCUUAUGGUCUUGAAGCUCUCAUUGCUGCUGUUAGAUGGGGAUUGUUAGCUAGAGGGGCUUGCGUGACACGUGAUUGAGUGAGGGGGAGGGUGGGUGAGUGUACCAUAACAAGUGAGGGGGUGGGGUCACGAGACAUUGAGAAAAAGGUGUUUAGGUGUAUAAUUUUGAGGGUAGUGAUUUGUAAUGGUGGGAUGGUUUGGUGCGUUUACAAUUGUGUAAGAAAAUGGAAUGUAACGUCCAAAAAUAAUGAAAUGGAUUAACUCUUGCUACUGGUGAACUAAAAAUUGAU
rnacentral:misc_RNA from 1 species